rnacentral:lncRNA from 10 species
UAGCGCCCUUUUAAAGAGAACGAGACUCGAAAUCUCUCUCUCUCCAGUGCAUUCAAUGGAGGAAGGCCACGUGAGGCCAUGAUGAGAAGGUACCAGUACCGGCUGGAAACCAGGAAGAGGCCCUCUCCAGACACCAACUCUGCCCUUUGCUGCAUACGCCAUGCCAUCUAUGGUAUUUUAUCAUGGCAGCCCAGACAGACCGAAAUAACAGCACUGACCCUGAGUGUCGUGAGGCUGACAUGAGUCAACCUUGAACCAAAAACCAAAUCAAUCAACGGAGGUGGGUGGUGGCUUGUGUGUGUGUUGCUUGUUUUAACAGGUGAGGGUAAGUGGCUUGCUCGGGGUCCCACAGAUACUCACGGGCAGGGCUGGGACCUGAAUCUGGGUCUGUUUGACCUCCAGUCCUGGGCCUUUCCACUGGGUGGCAUUACCUCCUUUUAAUGAUGCAAUUUCCUAAACAUACCAGAAAGAGACAAACCCUUCCCCCAAAGAACUGACAGUGGCUGAAUUUCCCAGUGAAGGUAACACGGCCAUAGCUGCGUGUGCUGCAGUGCCGGGUGGUGAGUUCCUUCUUGUGUGUGCGUGUGGGGUUUUGUUUUUAAUGUAGUUUUCCUCUUCCUCGCUGCCUUUUACAACCUAACAUGAUUAGUGCCCUGGAAGGUAGAGCUCAUUAGAGAUGCCGAAUCUGGAAGACUGUCUGGAAUAUCAAGCGUCUGAAACAAAUGCUCAUCUGGUCCUCUAAACGGUUCGAGCGCAAAGGAAAGAAGACGUUGUCUUUUAAGUGCAAUUAUAACUACAGGAAUUAACACAGCCCACCCUUAACUGGCUGAAAUGCCUCCAUUCUCCAUCAAACGCUGAUGCCAUGGUGAGCCCCACUGUCAGCAGGAAGAGAAUAGUUGGAGCAUGUGUAACAAGGUAGCUAAAAAUGACAUUUCUCUAAUAAAUAUCAUUGUAUUAUGCAGUGUCCAUCUGCGACUGCUAAAAAUUUGUCAGGAAGUUUAUUGUUGGAUAUUUGCCAAAGAGAUCUGUUUGGCCAACAAUUAAUGACAGUUAAAUGAUGUUGAUUAGAAUACAUUGCACAUCUUGUAGAAUAA